AUCAUCUGAUUUAUGUGAGAGCAAAAUUGUUCGGCCUUAUCUUCACCAAACCGAGGAAGAGAAAAUCAUUCUUCUCUUUUCUUCUUCUUUCUUCUUCCUUGUUCUUCAUCUGUUGAUGAUUUUGAGAAUCAGUUCAUGACUCUGCGUUGAUAUAAAGCUGGUAAAGAUCGAAGGUUAAUUGAUGGUGGUAGUUUUGGUUGAUCUGCUGAAAUCAAACCCAACAUGAAAGAUACUCUGGAGUCAUCUGGAACAAAAGAAGAGGAAACAGGGCAAAAGUGUUGGAGGCGGAUUAUUUCUCGUUAUUUGCUUUUAUUUUUUCAUCUCUAUCUGAAAAGCAUGUCACCUUUAGUGAUGCAAAUUCAUUGUCUGAAAAGCACGACAACUUUAGUGAUGAAAAGAAAUUGAAGAGAAGAAGUACAUCUGAGAAAUAAGAGAGAAACGACUAUUGUAAUUGGAAGCACAGUGGAGGAAAAGAAGCUGUCAUUUUCGGGUGGCUCGUAUUAAUUCGUGGGGUGUCUUAAGUCAUCAUGGAUACCCCUUAUCUACUCCACCUGGGUGGUUGCAUCCGUUCUAUUACACAAGUCUAGAAUUCAGUGAGAAUUGAGAAAUCAUUUUCUCAUCAUUUCAUUUUUCUUACCACCUAAAAACCGAGAGAGGAUUCGUGGGGAGAUUGAAAAUGAAUUUGCUGUAAUUGAAGUUAGGUUUGAUGCGAAUUCGAAUCUGGUGUUAUGUUAAAGGUUGAUGUUGCCAGAAAUGAAGAUGGGUUCGAUUCAUGAAGCAAUCUGGUGUAUGCUGAACUGAGAUUGAGAUCUGGUGGUGCCGCCAUAGAUGAAGUUUGGAAUUACAAGAUGAGUUUGUUAACUGAAGUUGCAGGUGGUUGAUGUUGUUGAUUUCAGAGAUGGUGUUGCCAUGGAUGAUUGCAAGAGAGCCGCUGCAGUUGUAGCUGAUAGCUAUGAAGAGAUGAACCUGGAUCGAGAUGGAAAAAUGGAAGAAAGGUCCUGGUGAUUCACGAAUUUAAGAUGGUGAAAUUAGGGUUCUGAGCUUUGAGAAGAAUGAGUUAAUGAAGAUGCUAAAAUGUGUUCUUGGAAUGAAGAAGAUGAACAUCAUCCGUUGUUGCUGAAAUGAAGGUUUUGCAGUCUAGGCCAAGAAGUGUUGGUGCCUGUGGUGGCUCUGCAGAGAUUGCAGGAGCAGGUGCUGGUGGUUGAUUCAUACAGGGAGAAGAAUGGCAGAAGAACAACGUGAUGGAGAUGGGUCUGUGAAAGAAGAGUUUUGCCGAGAAUGGAGGAUGAGCCUUGGGUUGAAUGCCAAAUGGUUCAGGGAAGUGAUGCUUGUCUGUGUGCAAUGUAAAGAAUGGCCUGAACUGGGUUUUGCAGCUGCAAGGAGUUAACUGGAGCUGCAGAUGACUUGCAGUAGGAGAAGCUUUGAAGCUGAUGCCGAGAAUUGAAAUUGAGCUGAAGGCGUAGAUGGUAUUGAUGUUGAUUGUCAUGGGUUACUGUUGCAUGGUUAAGAUGGUGAUAAGAUUGCGAUAAUGGAGCUUCUGCAGUGUUGUUGGUUGCUGGCAGAGAAUGAGAUAAUGAACUCAAGUAGCAGCAAGGGUUUAAAUGGAGGAAGUUGUGCUAUUGGUGGUUGCUUUAAAGGCAAUGAAACUGAGCUGAAGAAAUGGUGAAGGUCGACUGUGUUUAAGCCUAAACAGGAGCAGUGAUUGAAUGGGUUCGAUUGAACUGCAGGUGAUGAUUGGUUUGCAGGAGUUGUAGCCGCGGUCUGUGGACGGAGAAUUGAGGUCUGAGCUUGGUGAAGAUGAUAUUGCAGUGAGAACUCAAAUGGGCAUCGAAGGUGGAGGUUGCAGUUCUGUGGGUUCUGAGUUAUGGGUGAAUAUGAAUUGCAUUCGAUGGAGUUUGAGGCUGAGUGCAAUGAGAAGUGGUUGCUGUGUCGAGCCAAGAGUUAUGGGAAGUGAAGCUGAUCGUGCUGAGAUAGUGAAAACAGUGAAGGAAUGGAAUUGAUGCUGCCGAGAUGGAGAUUCUGAUAAAUGAUUGUAAUGCAAGAUGAAGCAUGACUCAGCUGCAGAUUUGUAUCGCAGUCAUAGAUGGUGGUACUGGAAAUGCUAUGGCUUAGUGCAAUGCAGAGCUGGGGAUGGAGCUGAAGGUUAUGAACUACAUAAUAUGUUGUUGCUUUUGGUGUUGAGUGCCUGUGACUUAGCUGGUGCUGUUUUGAGUUCGCAAGAAGCUAAGCUGUUGCCGGUGAUGGAAUGGGAUAGUGUUGCUGCUGGUAUUGAAGGUCCUGGAGGUUAUUCGAGCUGAACUAUGGCUGCGCAAUAAGAGUUUGUGGUAUGAGCGUGGUAUUGAAUGCUGAUUGCAGCUGCAGUUCAGUGAGGUGGUCAUGGAAGUGAAGAGAAGGAAUGGAAUGAAAAUGCAGGUGUUGAAUUGUUGCUGCCAAUGACUGCUAGAAGCAAGCAAAGCUAACUGGUGGCUACUUGAUGCUGCGGACGUGGUUUGAGCGGAUUAGAUAAAUGCAUGGGAUCCAGAACUGUGCAGGGAAGAACUAAGAAGUCGAGUGAUACUGUCAACUGGUGGUGAUAGUGCAGGCUCAAUUUUCUUGUCAGUUCCACAAUACUGACAGGCACUUCAAAUGGACCUGAUGGGCUCUGAAUUAUGGGCUUGGUUUGAGGCCUGAAUUGCAGUUGAGAGUAUGGGCUACACAUAAUUGGACGAGAUUAAACGUCAAGAAGGCAGAGGAAGUAUAUAAAAGAAGGGGUCUCAUAUUCUAUUCGAUCAUCUUAUGAAAUCUAUCUAAUAUCUCUUCUUCUACUUUUUGUUCUAGGAUUUAGAAACAUGAAAGUUUUUAUUUUUCUUCUUGUUAUGAACUCCAUGAGCAUGAGUACUUAAUUUUCUUUUGGUUAUGGAUUAGUUGGAUUUCACAUAAUAUU